GCCAAGGUGGUCGGAAGCUAAUCUCGAUUUUCUUCUAAAUUUCGCAUGGAAUUACAGAUAUUCUGCUUUGGCCACAUAACUUUCCUUGAUCUAUGAUAUGAGAUGACGGUCGAGGUGUCCAUGGUGGUAAGAGAUGACAGCCGGUGGUCCAUGAUGCUAGGAGUUGAAAGGUUCUGUCCAGAAAUCCCUCGGUGAUCUCAAUCCUAGCUAGGUGAUGGACCAUAAAUCAGCAGUCUGACCAACAAUGUUCAAUACAAGGCCACAAUUCCAUAAUUGCACGGUGGGAUGUCAUACACACGAAGCGGCUGGACUCCACAGGGAAUCAGAUGAUACAGCGGAUACAAUACUACACACGCUUUGGCCACAUAACUUUCCUUGAUCUAUGAUAUGAGAUGACGGUCGAGGUGUCCAUGGUGGUAAGAGAUGACAGUCGGUGGUCCAUGAUGCCAGGAGUUGAAAGGUUCUGUCCAGAAAUCCCUCGGUGAUCUCAAUCCUAGCUAGGCGAUGGACCAUAAUCAGCAGUCUGACCAACAAUGUUCAAUACAAGGCCACAAUUCCAUAAUUGCACGGUGGGAUGUCAUACACACGAAGCGGCUGGACUCCACAGGGAAUCAAAUGAUACAGCGGAUACAAUACUACACACGGUGAUAUUACGUGCACACCACGUGCCAAUGACGUCAUCAAGUCACGUGAUCUAUAGGAGAGGACGACGUAUCGGCAAAGGAGGGAACGUUUAUGGAAAAUGUUCUCGCCAAACAACAUGUGGAAAGUUUAAGGCAAGACCAAUACUUUGUAAAACUGAAUGUCGAAAACUAGUUACACUUGUCAAAGUUUCAGCUGAAAUUAGUUCAAAUUGAGUUAUAUUAGCUUUAUUUGACACUUAGUACUAGAUUGACAAGAACAGGACAAGUGUAACUAGAUACUAGAGAGGUUUCGCAUUGCUGUGAUUUACGUUUCAGUUCACGUUUUGAAAAUUAAAAUCUGAAAUAACAGUUUUGUGGUGUAAGUCAAAGGCAUGGCAUAUUAGCCCCUUCUUUUUUGAGAAAUCACAAGAACGUGCACGUGCGUCACAGACGCUUUGAAUACGUAAACGUACGGAAAACGUAAGAUUGCGAAACCUCUCUUUGCCCUGUUGCCCAAUGCUAGAACCUGACAUGGUACCUGAACUUGGGAAAUUCCGUUUGAGGGAAUCGGAAAACCAGAAAUAAGAAAGAACUUUGUCAGUAGAAAUGUAAUAAUCUUUGGGUCUUUGCUUUAUUACCAGAAUACUCUACGUAUCAGGUGGAAAUUGUAAGAAAUUGAGAAGAGUUUUAUUGGUUAAUUAUGGGGGCAAUCUUUCAAGCUACAUGUGAUCAGGUUCAUGCACAGGGCUACAGUGUUGGCCAUUGGUGAAACAAUUGUUCCAUCACAGGUGUAUCUUCAUCAAGGUGAAAGUACAUUUAGUCACUUGGGGAAUUAGUCCUACCCUAUUGUCCAGUGAGUGUUCAGUUAGAGAUGCAAUGCCUUCAUAAUACGAUUGUAAAAACAACGCAGACUAUUUGAACAUGGUCUCAGCUCAAUCAGCCAAUCAUACGCCUUUUUUACAGACUCUUGUGGAAGAAAUAUCAAGUUUAAAAGAACUGUCCAUCCCAGCAAACUUUCUUGGCUCAAGCAGGCCACUUUUAUAUAUCAUUUCACGAAAGUGUCCUGUUUAAAAACGGGCAAAAAAUACUUUUGCGAAAAAAAAGAUAAAAAAAGGUUCACGUUGGAUUCGAUCCAUCGAUCUCCUGCAUUAGAGUCCAACGCUCUUACCACUACUCCAUAAAACCACCCACUGGAAAGGGCCGGCAAUGUGAGAGUCAGUGAAAACAUGUGCUCAGACCUUCAUCAUUGAGUUAUGUCACGAUCAUUCAAUUGAGUAUACAAGUUCCGGGACUCUUUGUCCAAAUUGUGUGGAUUUCACGUCACUGCCAAAGACCCUUUGAUGGGGCCAUUGUGGUCCCUUAAUCUGUAUAUUCCAUUGAAUGAGACAAUAGGGCCUACUGUUGCUGGGAGAUGUGUCCAAUAAUUUUUCUGCGUUACUGUGUUUGCUGGGAGUUUGGUAUCACAAGCUUGUGAUAUAUCAAUACAAGUACAGGGUGUUAAUCAAAACAAGUUACAGUCUUGAGGCCUAAUAGCCGUUGUUCUAAAUAACUUGGCCAAUUUGAUUUAUACCAUCAACAAAUAGAAUCUCUCAGAAUGUGUUGCAUACUAACUGAAGUUUAAUCUAUCCAGUUCAUGUACUUCUUACACAACUGGAAUUCAAAAUGUUUUAAUUAACACCCUGUAUACUUGAUGAAAAUAUCACGUAUAAGUUCCAAUUCAAAGCCGUGGCAGUUGUAGUUUGACUUGCGACGGGGAUUUCAAAAAGUAUUUUUUGUCUAUAAAAACAUUAUCAUAGUCUCGAACUACACCUUCCAUCAUGGACCACACUGGCUCCUUAAGUCUGGUGUCCUCGAAAACCCUCAUUCAGCCCCACUUUCCAUUUGGGGAAAACAUUCAAUCAGAAAUGGAAAACAUUUGUGACACCACCGUAUAUGUGUAUUUAUGUUAAGAUGUCGGACAUUCCGUUGUGAUCAAAAGUAGAAAUUAGUUUAUCAACAACAUCAUUAAACUGCUGCAGUACGAAGUUGUUUCUUAAGAAUAUCAAUUAAGAAAACAAAGCCCCUAUAAACUAAAAGUAACACGUAUUCACCCAUUCUGAAUUACAUAAACAAGAAUUGCCCUCUUAGUCCCAAAAAGCUGAUUGGUUCAUUUCCAAUGAGCAAGCGGCAAGAAGAAUUCGACACUUUCGAUAAAGAGGGAUCCAUAAUUUAUCAUUUCUUUUAAAAAGUAUAAGCAAUAACCUGCUCAGUGUCAGGAGCAUUCAGAUUUUGAUGUUGAGUUCUGAAAUAACUAAUUGGUACACCCAAGAAUUGUCUGUAUAAUAACAGACACAUUUCAAUCGUUUGGGUAAAUUAAUCUAUGUCAUUAAAGAAACAUCAACAUUCAAAAUGUUUAAAAGGAAUUAUCAGGGCAUUAAGAUAUCAUUAUCAAUCGCCCUUUUCUAAAAACCAUACUACCAAUCCAGACCUUAGAUCCAAAUCAAAAUGAAAUGUAUGGAAAUCCAUCCCCUUCCAGACUGUUCAAGAUAUUCUAAAGAAACAAUUAACUGACAGCAAUACUCUGUACAACAGAUUAAGAUUUAGGCCUUAAUUACCGGUACUUGAUUCAGACUGUGUAAAAAUACUUUAAUCUCACGCAUAUAAGACCAUCUAAUGAACUUUAACGAAGGAAUGAUUGCGGCUGCGGGAUAUCCUUUGACCUCCGCAGCAGUAGCGUAAACUGUAAGACUUCACAAGCACUAAAGCUGUCUUAUCACUUUCUAUUUGCUAAGUGGAUUUCAGGGUUGUGUUUCAAUUCACGAAAAUGGUCUUAUAUUUGUGGUUUUUACAGUAUUUCGCCUUCUUUGCGUGUACUGUGAAAUGGUUAGUAGUUAUUUAAAUAAAACUUUUGUUUAAAAUUGACGUGUUUUUGGUUCCUUCGACUUCAACUCAAUCCUUUUAUUUGAAACAUGGAAAAUAGUUGUCAGUUCAGAGUUUACUAGUUAUAUCUGCAGUUUUGUUUCAAACAAUUUAUUAAUCUUUAGCCUCAGCACGGUUUGCAAACAGCAAACUUUAUUCCAUGAAUCUUUAAUGCAGUUAUUGACAGUCUU